GAUGAACGCUGGCGGCGUGCCUAAUACAUGCGAGUCGAGCGAACAGAUAAGGAGCUUGCUCCUUUGACGUUAGCGGCGGACGGGUGAGUAACACGUGGGUAACCUACCUAUAAGACUGGGAUAACUUCGGGAAACCGGAGCUAAUACCGGAUAACAUUUGGAACCGCAUGGUUCUAAAGUGAAAGAUGGUUUUGCUAUCACUUAUAGAUGGACCCGCGCCGUAUUAGCUAGUUGGUAAGGUAACGGCUUACCAAGGCGACGAUACGUAGCCGACCUGAGAGGGUGAUCGGCCACACUGGAACUGAGACACGGUCCAGACUCCUACGGGAGGCAGCAGUAGGGAAUCUUCCGCAAUGGGCGAAAGCCUGACGGAGCAACGCCGCGUGAGUGAUGAAGGGUUUCGGCUCGUAAAACUCUGUUAUUAGGGAAGAACAAACGUGUAAGUAACUGUGCACGUCUUGACGGUACCUAAUCAGAAAGCCACGGCUAACUACGUG
rnacentral:rRNA from 1 species